UGGGUCGGCAAGACGGUCGCGCUCAUGUUCCCCUCGGGGCGCAUGGUCGAGGAACGUCCGGGCUCCACAGGGCAGGGCGGUGGGUAACACCCACCCGGGGUAACCCGCGAGAAAGUGCAACAGAAAGUAGACCGCCGUUCGCAAGAACGGUAAGGGUGAAACGGUGGUGUAAGAGACCACCAGCGGCCGCGGUGACGCGGUCGGCUAGGUAAACCUCGUCCGGAGCAAGGUCAGACAGGAAGCGUUACGGGUGGCCCGCCCAGUUUCCGGGUAGACCGCUGGAGGCGUGCGGCAACGUACGUCGUAGAUAGAUGGCCGUCCAGCAUCCCCGUGCCUGUCACGGUGAUGUCAACAGAACCCGGCGUAUCAGCCGGCCCAUUCC
rnacentral:RNase_P_RNA from 1 species